GGUCUGAGGUGUGAUGAUGAAACCCUUCAGUCCUCAAUAGAGCAAAGAUGGGAGGCCGACACCUCUCGGAGCUGACCUUACAAAAGCCAAAUCCCCAAUGAAGCUUUCAUGAUGGGAGGGCAGAGCUGCCCAUGACAAGACUGAUGAAAUCGAGGAGAAACUCCAGAGAAGUCCUCAUCAAGAAGCCCCUCCAAGAUGAGUCGACCAUGACAUCAACGAGACCGACACUAUGGGGGGUAGGCGACUUGGGAUAUUCCUCUGACUCGAGAAACUCCUCUGGUACCUAACGAGUCAUUAUUCAGCUAAUAUCCAUUUAACGGAGCCAUGGAGUCCGACGACUGUUAGCGUGCCAGCUAAGACCAAAGGACUCCUAGAGUAUAAGCUACGAUUUGCAGCGUAGGUCCAGGCAAAAUCUGACGUUAUUCGGCUAAUACUCAUUUAUCGGAGCCAUGGAGUCCGAUGACUAUUAGCAUGCCAGCCAAAGUCGAAGGACCGUUGGGGUAUAAGCUACAGUUCGUGGUACAGACCUAAAUAAAAUUUGACGUUAUUCGGCUAAUAUCCGUUUAAUGGAGUCGUAGAGUCCAACAACUGUUAGCAUACCAACUAUGGCCGAAGGGUUGUUGGAGUGUAAGCUAUAGUUUGU
rnacentral:lncRNA from 1 species